GCAGUAGCCACGGUAAUACGUAGGGUGCGAGCGUUAAUCGGAAUUACUGGGCGUAAAGCGUGCGCAGGCGGUUCGUUAAGACAGAUGUGAAAUCCCCGGGCUUAACCUGGGAACUGCAUUUGUGACUGGCGAGCUAGAGUAUGGCAGAGGGGGGUAGAAUUCCACGUGUAGCAGUGAAAUGCGUAGAGAUGUGGAGGAAUACCGAUGGCGAAGGCAGCCCCCUGGGCCAAUACUGACGCUCAUGCACGAAAGCGUGGGGAGCAAACAGGAUUAGAUACCCCUGUAGUCCCUGUCUCUUAUAC
rnacentral:rRNA from 1 species